CCUACGGGAGGCUGCAGUGGGGGAUAUUGCACAAUGGGGGAAACCCUGAUCCAGCGACGCCGCGUGUGGGAAGACUGUCCUCUGGAUUGUAAACCACUUUUACCUGGGACGAAGACGACGGUACCUGGGGAGGAAGCAUCGGCCAACUACGUGCUAGAAGCCGAGGUAUUACGUAGGGAGGGAGCGUUGUCCGGAAUUACUGGGUGUAAGGGGAGGGUGGGGGGGAGUGAAGGUGGUGAGUCAAAUCUACGGGUAAAACUGGUAGGUGCAGUCAAAACUGCAAGUCUUGAGUGAAGUAGAGGCAGGCGGAAUUCGUAGUGUAGCGGAGAAAUGCGUAGAUAUAAAGAGGAACACC
rnacentral:rRNA from 1 species